CCUACGGGGGACAGCAGUGAGGAAUAUUGGUCAAUGGGCGGGAGCCUGAACCAGCCAUGCCGCGUGAAGGCGAGUGCCCUACUGGCGUUAAACUUCUUUUGUUCGGGAGCAAUAAGGGCCACGUUUGGCCCGCUGCGAGUACCGCCCGAAUCAGCAUCGGCUAACUCCGUUCCAGCAGCCGCGGUAAUACGGGGGAUGCGAGCGUUAUCCGGAUUUAUUGGGUUUAAAGGGGGCGUAGGCGGCGCUUCAGGUCAGCGGUGAAAUCCCGGGGCUCAACCCCGGGGCUGCCGUUGAAACCGGAGCGCUAGAAUUCCGAUGCCGUCGGAGGAAUGUGUGGUGUAGCGGUGAAAUGCAUAGAUAUCACACAGAACACCGAUUGCGAAGGCAUCUGACGAAGCGGAGAUUGACGCUGAUGCACGAAAGCGUGGGUAUCGAACAGGAUUAGAUACCCUAGUAGUC
rnacentral:rRNA from 1 species